rnacentral:rRNA from 1 species
CGUGCAGGCGGUCGGGUAAGUCAGAUGUGAAAUCCCUCCGCUUAACGGAGGAAGUGCAUUUGAAACUGUUCGGCUAGAGUACGGGAGAGGAGAGUGGAAUUCCCGGUGUAGAGGUGAAAUUCGUAGAUAUCGGGAGGAACACCAGUGGCGAAGGCGGCUCUCUGGUCCGAUACUGACGCUGAGAUGCGAAAGCGUGGGGAGCAAACAGGAUUAGAUACCCUGGUAGUCCACGCCGUAAACGAUGGGCACUAGGUGUAGGAGGUAUUGACCCCUUCUGUGCCGAAGCUAACGCAUUAAGUCGCCCCGCCGUGGGGAGUACGGCCGCAAGGCUAAA